rnacentral:rRNA from 1 species
UUCGCAAUGCCCGAAAGGGUGACGAAGCGACGCCGCGUGGGUGAGGAAGGCCUUCGGGUUGUAAAGCCCUGUCAGGAGUUAAGAAAUGUAAGUGCGCUAAUAUCGCAUUUAUUUGACGAAGGCUCCAAAGGAAGCCACGGCUAACUCUGUGCCAGCAGCCGCGGUAAUACAGAGGUGGCAAGCGUUGUUCGGAAUUAUUGGGCGUAAAGAGCACGUGGGUGGGUUUGUAAGUCAGAUGUGAAAGCCUUCUGUUCAACGGAAGAAUUGCAUCUGAAACUACAAGUCUUGAGUGUAGGAGGGGAGAAUGGAACUUCUGGUGGAGCGGUGAAAUGCGUAGAUAUCAGAAGGAACGCCGGCGGCGAAAGCGAUUCUCUGGCCUAUUACUGACACUCAGUGUGCGAAAGCUAGGGGAGCAAACGGGAUUAGAUACCCCGGUAGUCCUAGCUGUAAACGAUGGGCACUAAGUAGAGGGGUUUU